UACGUAGGGUGCAAGCGUUAAUCGGAAUUACUGGGCGUAAAGCGUGCGCAGGCGGUUUUGUAAGUCUGUCGUGAAAUCCCCGGGCUCAACCUGGGAAUUGCGAUGGAGACUGCAAGGCUAGAAUCUGGCAGAGGGGGGGUAGAAUUCCACGUGUAGCAGUGAAAUGCGUAGAGAUGUGGAGGAACACCGAUGGCGAAGGCAGCCCCCUGGGUUAACACUGACGCUCAGGCACGAAAGGCGUGGGGAGCAA
rnacentral:rRNA from 1 species